UGUCAGAGCAGGAUAUGUCUUCUCAUAUAACUGAGAUUUCUCUAUAAACUGAUACAUUAAUGCAUGAGUCUAUUUACAGGGUGAGAUAAAUCCUCAUUAGAGCAGGAGGUGAUCUAAGAGAACAGACAGGGAAACUCUUCAUUGACAAACACACCUAAACACAGACUCACUGAAUGGAUGGCAAUGUUGUUGUCUUCAGAAGGAUACAGGAUAUCUGAGAAGGAUUCAGAGGCGAUUCCAAAAGAGCAGCACCUGUACACCUCAGACUGCUAAUGGUGUCUCCCUGCACGUCGUCAUGAUGCAUUCAAGUGAAGUCAGCAUUUUAAGUGUCACACAGCUGUUAUUCUGUUAACAUCAACAAUUCCUAGAAACCAAAUAUUGGGUAAUUAAUUGUUUUUAAUCACUGAUUGCAAGUAAACUCCUGCACACAUUGCACAAUAACAUUUUCAGCAUUUCCUUAUAAGUACAGAAACAUUGACAAUGUGCAAUUUAGACUGAGUGAAGGAGUUUAUUUGCAAUUUUUGAUGACUCAUUCCUCUCUUGCUCACUUGUCUGUUAACACAGAGAUGUGUGAAGUAAUUGAUUUAAGGAUAAAGCCAGUCUCCUAAAAGAAAGCUCAACAGUUAGUUUGAAUGUUAGACCAAUGGACAGGUGUUACAUACAUUGAUAUAAAGUAGACGAUAUGAUUGACAAGGUUAAUAGACUGUUUGAUUGACAGGUGAUAUAUAGACUCUUUUUGAUUGGCAGUAUUGGACUGUAUAUUAGACUGUGAUCAGAGAAUAGAAGGCGUUUGUGAUUAGAAAUGGAACACAGCCCUCGUUGCUUUAUUUGACACGCUGACUCUGCCUUGGGCGUGUUUAAUAGUCUAGUUUUUGUUUGUGUGUUUGGAACAAAGAUUGUUAUUGUGGUGUGUGUGUGUGUGUGUGUGUGUGUGUGUGUGUGUGUGUGUGUGUGUGUGUGUAUGUGUGUGUGUGUCUGUAUGUCCCCCUCCAUUUUUUUAUAUAAAAAACAAGCUGUUUCCAAAGAGGUCGUUCUUGUUUGACGUUGUGGUCUGAUGUUGGUCUGUUCAUCUUUUCCUCCUCACUGCUCACUCUGCGUCCACACUGACACUCUGCAGGAGUCCAUCAGCUCUCAGUCAUUGGGGGAUAGGAGCUGAACAUGAUUUAAAUGUCAAAAAGAUGCAGAUAUUACAUUGUUUAAUUCAUUUUAUUAAAUUUAAAUUGCAAUUAGGUUUUUUAAGGCUAUAAACACAGAUAGAGUUAUUCAGACCUGUCACAAUACCAGAUUUUGUUUUUAACUUUGAUAUGAUUUUAAGAAAAUCAAACAAUUUCAAUACCUACUUGAUACCAACAAAAACAAAACAAAAAUAGAUGUCAUAGACACCCAAUAUGAGGUAAUUUAUUGAUUUAAUAAAAAAAAAAAUUCAGACAAACUCCUGUAUGCUGAAUAAACUGCAUAUGGAAAUAAAUACAAAAUAACAAUAUAUAAUUGUAUAAGAUAAUUGUACACAUUUUCCAUGAAUUCAUUCCUCACCUACAAACCUGUCUUAUAACAUAGUUGUAGUUUUUUUUUU